CAAAUUAGAGCUUGUUUUAAGUAUUUCAUUUACAUUGAAAGGAAAUUAAUAAUUAAUUAAUUUGA
rnacentral:tRNA from 1 species